rnacentral:rRNA from 1 species
GGGGGGGGGGGGGGGGGGGCUUGGCGGGUGGAGGGCGAACGGGGGGCCUCGUCGGGGGGGGUCAGUGGCGGACGGGUGAGUACCACGUGGGCGACCUGCCCCCGGCUCUGGGAUAACUCCGAGCAAUUGGGGCUAAUACCGGCUGUUCACCGCUUCCCGCCCGGGUGGUUGUGGCCAGGGUUUCCGGCUGGGGAUGCGCCCGCGGCCUAUCAGCUGGUUGGUGGGGUAGUGGCCUACCAAGGCGACGACGGGUAGCCGGCCUGAGAGGGUGACCGGCCACACUGGGACUGAGACACGGCCAAGACUCCUACGGGAGGCAGCAGUGGGGAAUAUUGCGCAAUGGGCGGAAGCCUGACGCAGCGACGCCGCGUGGGGGAUGACGGCCUUCGGGUUGUAAACCUCUUUCAGCAGGGACGAAGCGCAAGUGACGGUACCUGCAGAAGAAGCACCGGCCAACUACGUG